GAUCAUGGCUCAGGACGAACGCUGGCGGCGUGCCUAAUACAUGCAAGUAGAACGCUGAAGGAGGAGCUUGCUCUUCUGGAUGAGUUGCGAACGGGUGAGUAACGCGUAGGUAACCUGCCUGGUAGCGGGGGAUAACUAUUGGAAACGAUAGCUAAUACCGCAUAACAGUAGAUAUCGCAUGAUAGCUGCUUGAAAGGUGCAAAUGCACCACUACCAGAUGG
rnacentral:rRNA from 1 species